rnacentral:rRNA from 1 species
AUUGAACGCUGGCGGAAUGCUUUACACAUGCAAGUCGAACGGCAGCAUAGGUGCUUGCACCUGAUGGCGAGUGGCGAACGGGUGAGUAAUACAUCGGAACGUGCCCAGUCGUGGGGGAUAACGUAGCGAAAGUUACGCUAAUACCGCAUACGAUCUAAGGAUGAAAGCGGGGGACCGUAAGGCCUCGCGCGAUUGGAGCGGCCGAUGUCAGGUUAGGUAGUUGGUGAGGUAAAGGCUCACGAAGCCGACGAUCUGUAGCUGGGCUGAGAGGGGAACCAGCCACACUGGGACUGAGACACGGCCCAGACUCCUACGGGAGGCAGCAGUGGGGAAUUUUGGACAAUGGACGCAAGUCUGAUCCAGCCAUUCCGCGUGCAGGACGAAGGCCUUCGGGUUGUAAACUGCUUUUGUACGGAACGAAAAAGCUCUUACUAAUACUAGGAGUCCAUGACGGUACCGUAAGAAUAAGCACCGGCUAACUACGUGCCAGCCGCCGCAGUAA